CAGAUGAGGAUGAAUGGUAAAUACCAUAAUCCCACACUUGAUCUGAGGAAUCUGUUUCCCUUGAGGUUAAAUAAUGCCCUUCUGAAUCUGU